rnacentral:rRNA from 1 species
AGAGUUUGAUCCUGGCUCAGGAUGAACGCUAGCGGCAGGCUUAACACAUGCAAGUCGAGGGGCAUCGGGAGGGAAGCUUGCUUUCCUUGCCGGCGACCGGCGCACGGGUGAGUAACACGUAUGCAACCUGCCCUCUUCAGGGGGACAACCUUCCGAAAGGGAGGCUAAUCCCGCGUAUAUCGGUUUCGGGCAUCCGAGAUCGAGGAAAGAUUCAUCGGAAGAGGAUGGGCAUGCGGCGCAUUAGCUUGACGGCGGGGUAACGGCCCACCGUGGCGACGAUGCGUAGGGGUUCUGAGAGGAAGGUCCCCCACACUGGUACUGAGACACGGACCAGACUCCUACGGGAGGCAGCAGUGAGGAAUAUUGGUCAAUGGGAGAGAUCCUGAACCAGCCAAGCCGCGUGAGGGAAGACGGCCCUAUGGGUUGUAAGCCUCUUUUGUCGGAGAACAAAACCCGGGACGUGUCCCGGACUGCGUGUAUCCGAAGAAAAAGCAUCGGCUAACUCCGUG